rnacentral:rRNA from 1 species
UACGUAGGGUGCAAGCGUUGUCCGGAAUUAUUGGGCGUAAAGAGCUCGUAGGCGGUCUGUCGCGUCUGCUGUGAAAACUCAGGGCUUAACCCUGAGCUUGCAGUGGGUACGGGCAGACUAGAGUGCGGUAGGGGAGACUGGAAUUCCUGGUGUAGCGGUGAAAUGCGCAGAUAUCAGGAAGAACACCCGUGGCGAAGGCGGCUCUCUGGGACGGUACUGGACGCUGAGACGCGAAAGCCGUGGGGAGCGAACAGG